GCAUAUCAAUAAGCGGAGGAAAAGAAAAUAACAAUGAUUCCCUUAGUAACGGCGAGUGAAGGGGGAUAAGCUCAAAUUUUAAAUCUGCUAGGUCUUACCUAUCAGAGUUGUAUUUUGAAGAAGCGUUUUCCGCGUCUCGGUUGACCCAAGUCCUUUGGGAUAAGGUAUCAUGGAGGGUGAGAAUCCCGUCCGGUUGACCUUGUGACGCUUUACGAUACGUUUUCUAAGAGUCGAGUUGUUUGGGAUUGCAGCUCAAAAUGGGAGGUAAAUUUCUCCUAAGGCUAAAUAUUGGCGAGAGACCGAUAGCGAACAAGUACCGUGAGGGAAAGAUGAAAAGAACUUUGAAAAGAGAGUAAAAUAGUACGUGAAAUUGUUGAAAGGGAAACGAUUGAAGUCAGUCGUACCGACGGAAAAUCAGCUCUUUGAGUGCGGACUUGUGGGCUUACGUGAGUUUUAACACCUCGCUGUUUGCAACGUUCGUGUUUUUUGGGUGUACUUUUUCGUAUGGUUGGCCAAUAUCAGUUUUGAUCGCUAUAAAAUGACCGGCGGAAUGUAGCUUCGAUCUCGAUUGAAGUGUUAUAGCCUCUGGUAGAUGUGGUGAUUGGGACUGAGGAUUGCAACGAAUACCUUUUGGGCUAUCCGUCUGAUCUCUGAAGGUUGCUUAGGUGCCGAAAGCGUGCUUACGGUUAUUUAAGUUGACAGUCAAAAGGUUAGAACGUGAUUAUAUUCGUUAAGGAUGUUGACGUA
rnacentral:rRNA from 1 species